ensembl:lncRNA
GUCACACUGAAGGAACAGAUCACACCAUACCUGUGCUCUCUGUUUGCUUCUCCCUGUGAGCUGAGCAGUUUGUCUCCUUACCUCUCUGCUCUGUGUUGUUUCCUCUUUCCGACCAGAAGAUCUUCACAGCUUAGUCUGGACAGAACGUCACUCUGACAUGUCGAGCUCCAAAUAUCAGUGUUCCCAUCAGAGCUGUGGAGUGGUUCAGACUUGACCUGCUGGAAGGACAUGUUCUCAUGUACCGGGGUGAGCAGUUUGUUUCAUUCAACCAGCUUCCAUCGUUUGUGAACCGGGUAGAUCUGCAGAACAGAUGGAUGCAGGAUGGAGACGUGUCUUUGGUUCUGAAGGAUGUGACAAGAAAUGACACUGGAACAUAUCAGUGUUAUGUCAUUCAGAGAGGAAAGAACCACAGGAAGUGCACUGUGGAACAUAUCAGCAUCAUCUACCUUCAUGUUGUUGCUCCAGAUUUCUCGUGCUUGGUUUGGGGACUCUGGACGCUUUUCCCGACUCCUCUCUGCACCCCUGGGAACCCUGGCCCCCUUCUCCUUCACCUGUAUAUAGUGCACCUGGAGUGUGUAAAUAAACCUGUUUUUCUGAGAUUUCAGUCUGCGCCGAGUCCUCCCUGCUCCUCCGUCACGGAGACCACGGCCCUCUAUUGAGUAUAACAGACCUGAGCAUCUUCCUGGUAAUUAGCAUUACUUCGAUCCAGUGUUCUCCGGGUGAAAUUCCAGGGUGGCGUUGUCGGUUGUCUGUUAAAUUGUGAAGAGUAUUUAUUCCAUCCCAGCCUUGUGCUGCCACAUUUAGUUUAAGAUCUACAUUCUGAUAUUCUGAUGAGAGAGAGGUUGAGUCUCCAUGAACAGCUUUACUGCUGCUGUUUGACAUCUUCGAUCCAGCUUAGAUUAUUCCCACUGAUGAUGAAAUGCACUAGCUUAAAAAAAGUCAGAAUGUGGAGUAUAAGAUGUCAUAUUUAAAUCCAGUAACAUGAAAAAAUGAUGAAAAAAUGAUUUAUUGUAAAUCUCUUCUUUUGGUCCAUCUGUGCCUCUUUCUUGGACCAACAGGGGGGCCGUGAUCCACACUUUGGGAAUCACUGCUAUAGUGACUCAAUGAUCUAUUUUUUUUGUGGGGUAGCAUGUAGAUUACUUUAUAUUCCUGUAAGAGUAUAUUUGUUUUAUUUGUUUGUUAUUAACAAAUUUUCAACAUGUAUUAUUACUGAGUGACGGCUUUGCUAAAUCCAGCUGUGAGCUUUUUGACUGUUUCUGGGGACACUGAGCAGCAGCACAGAUCUAUACUGUGACAGUAUAAUGGAUGGUAUGUGUGUUUAUUUAUUUAAUCACUUAGUCUCAGCUCAGCCUUUUUGCAUAUAAAUAUCUUCCAGUCAUACAAUAUGCCAGCAUGAUUUCAAGAUAGUAAGUUUAGACUGAUCGAAGCAGGAACUGAGUAAAAAUGUGACCUGAGUGUGAGGUAUGUCUGAAAGACAUACCUCACACUCAGACACUCAGGUUAGACCUGACUAACCCACAAUAAAUAAAUAAUCAAGUAACUAAAAAUUAUUUUUAUUCAGGCCAUGGUGUAAUAAUGAUCACUAAACCUUUGAAAAUAGUCCCUUUAACCUUCCUAACAUUAAAGAUGAUAUUUUAAUAAAAACGUAACAUAUUUACUUUUACAAAUAGAGACAAUAUGAACCAGAAAAACCUGUGUGGGCCUGUCACUGUGAAAAAUUUGAAGCCUCCAGUUUUUGUUUUUUUUGUUUUAUCUGAACCAGGAAGUGUUUUGAAUGCAGGGCAGAGCUCUGACUCUGCAACCAAAGGGUAAGGUUGAGGGUAAAAACCUGUUUCAGUGUAGCGUACAGGUGUUCAGCAGUACUGGGAACAGUGGGUGUGUUAGUGGAGGCGCUUAAUGAAAUGAUCCCAGGAAGCAGGUUGUGAGAUUUUUAUACUAUCCUAUGCCACCUUAUACUUCUAAUCAAAGAAUUGUCGAAUCAUUAUACAGCUAUAGGCCACAUUAUGUCUUGGAUUAAAGAUGUAAAAUCAUUACUGUUUUAUGAUGCACUAUACUGCUGAUUUAUAAGAAAUACUGUUUGUGAAGAAUCAUGGCCUUCCUUUUCUGAGUACAAAGAGAACAGAACAUACCGUAGAGCUUUUCUGCCCUAUCUCAUCAGGAGGAGAUAAAACAGGAAGCCAAGGUCGUCACGUAGGUGCCGUAAGAGAGAAAGAAUGUGAAUGCUUAGUGUGGCGGAGGGCUGAAGCUAUAAGACUGUGAGAAACGGUCAGACACUUUGACAUUUUGCAGGAAACCCCGCCUUGCUCAUCUCCUGUCAGGAUGUUUAAGCUCAAAGUGUGUAAGGAAUUAUGAGAAGUGUAUGGAAUAAAGAGAUUGUUGAUUGAGCAUUUAUAUACUGAGUGUUUAUACACCCACACACCAUCAGGCUGUUUAACUCCUCUCUGGAGGGGAGAGGGAGGGGAAACAGGAGGACAAAGGAGGGGGGAACAACUAAGCUGUAGUGCCUCUUCACUGUGCAAGGCUUUUUGUUAAUAACCAACGGUGCAAUAGACUCACAACAUUUGAAAUGUACAAUUCCCUUGUAUUCUUAUUCCUAUUUAUUCUAUUUAUCCCUUUUGUAUCCUCUGUAUUUAUAUAUGUGUAUAUAUGCUAUUCUGCUCACAUUCUGUAACUUCUGUUGGUGCUGUGCUAUUGGAAACUGAAUUUCUCAGAGGAAUCCACCCGAGGGAUUAAUAAAGUUUUAUCUUAUCUUGUCUCUCUUGUUGUUCUUCCUUCAGCCCAAACAACAAAGAUUUGGGAUAUUUAACAAGGUGUAGCAGGCCUCCUAUUUUCAUUACAGAUAACUCG